rfam:Otolemur garnettii contig188648, whole genome shotgun sequence.
AAAUUAAAAUCCAACCCCAGCAUUAGCCCAGGGGUAGGUAUUCCUCUUAAGGAAGCCAGAAUUCCUCUUUUGCCACCGGUUGGC